rnacentral:tRNA from 1 species
UCCUGACUGGCUGAGUUGGUAGAGCAUGAGACUCUUAAUCUUGGGGUCAUGAGUUCAAGCCUCAUGUUGGGUC